GACGAACGCUGGCGGCGUGCCUAAUACAUGCAAGUAGAACGCAGUUGCGAACGGGUGAGUAACGCGUAGGUAACUGCCUCAUAGCGGGGGAUAACUAUUGGAAACGAUAGCUAAUACCGCAUACUGUGAGAUGGACCUGCUUUGUAUUAGCUAGUUGGUGAGGUAAAGGCUCACCAAGGCGACGAUUCAUAGCCGACCUGAGAGGGAGUACCGCCACACUGGAACUGAUGCACGGCCCAGACUGCUGCGGGAUGGAGCUGUAGGUAAUCUUGCGCGAUGGGCGGAAGUCUGACCGGGCAACGCCGCAUGAGUUAAGAAGAUGUUCGGGGCGUAAAACUAUGUGGUUAGAGAAGCGGAAACUAACAAGAAAGGGAAGGCUAACUACGUGCCAGCAGACGCAGUAAUAC
rnacentral:rRNA from 1 species